rnacentral:rRNA from 1 species
UACGUAGGGUGCAAGCGUUAAUCGGAAUUACUGGGCGUAAAGCGUGCGCAGGCGGUGAUGUAAGACAGAUGUGAAAUCCCCGGGCUCAACCUGGGAACUGCAUUUGUGACUGCAUCGCUGGAGUGCGGCAGAGGGGGAUGGAAUUCCGCGUGUAGCAGUGAAAUGCGUAGAUAUGCGGAGGAGCACCGAUGGCGAAGGCAAUCCCCUGGGCCUGCACUGACGCUCAUGCACGAAAGCGUGGGGAGCAAACAGG